UACAGGGGGUGCAAACGUUGCUCGGAAUCACUGGGCGUAAAGGGCGUGUAGGCGGGAAGGAUAGUCAGAUGUGAAAGCCCUGGGCUCAACCCAGGAACUGCAUUUGAAACUCCCUUUCUUGAGUGUCGGAGAGGAAAAGCGGAAUUCCUGGUGUAGAGGUGAAAUUCGUAGAUAUCAGGAGGAACACCGGUGGCGAAGGCGGCUUUCUGGACGACAACUGACGCUGAGACGCGAAAGCGUGGGGAGCAAACAGG
rnacentral:rRNA from 1 species